rnacentral:lncRNA from 1 species
UUUCAUAACAACUGAUAAGUUGGAGAAUUCUCGUUGAAAUUUAUAUGCUUUCAUGAAAAUCUAAGUAGUUUGAGGACGAGGUUCUUGCUUAUGUAUCAUGCUAGUCAUUUUGCUUUGCAAAAUCGAAUAUUAGAUUGUAGGUAGCUUAACAGUUCAUGUGAUUCAUCUAUCAUUGGGUUAUAGAUAGUUGCUCCAAGUAUCUUUCAGGACUUAUGGCUUUGCAUCACUAUCAAGGUUAUUGAUGGUGCAAUUUUCCCCGUUGUUGCUUGUGUUUGGCUAAACAAAUAUUGAUGGAGAUAUAUCUUUUUUAGUCUAUGUUUAUCCCCUUCCACCUAAUUCGUCUACAUAUUCUAACAAACAGUCCUGCCAAAGACAGGCUUAGCUCAAAUCAUUUUCCAUUCAAGAUUUAGAUACCAAGAUUAUACCAUUUUUCGUGAUUCACUUCAAUUUAUUAUAUUCAUACCUUUUAAAGGUUUUUGUGUUUGCCCUUUCUUAGUUAUCUAGCACGUAAUUCUUGAAGUCAAUGCAAUCAUGGUGUUCUACUCAUGUUAUCGAUGUGUGCAUGAUUUCACGUGAAAUGUAUGUAAACCAAAGUGAAUCGACCAUUCAUGAACUCUGCAGUUUGACUAAUUCUAUAGGACCAACAGUGCAGAUAAGUUUUUGACAGCUGCAAAGCCAAUCGCAACAAUGAGCUAGGUUUGCAACUGUGUAAUGCUUGUGCAAUCGUAAGAUCCGGAGUGUGGAUGCUAUGAAUGCCAUUUAUGUGACUAUUAUGUGAGGCAUAACUCACUAUAUUUUAUUAUAAAUUUUUAUUUGACAAACUUCAGCAAGCCACAAUUGUCAGAACCAUCUUCCCAUCUACUACCAUGAAUUUGCUUGGAUGCAUAAAAGCAAGUGCUAAGUGUUUACUAUUUGAUUAAUCAAUAAUUUUGGUGAUUAAUCAAUAGUUCAUGUUGUCUUCUAUGCCUAUGCCUAUCAAAAUCUUAUCCAAUGGAGACACAUAACAAAUAAUGCAAAGCGUUGGAUUAGACAAUUCCAAGGCAUAUAAGUAUAAUGGGAAAUAAGUUGUUGAUCCUUUGGGUAGACAAACCGAGCUCCUUAUAUAAGACUUUGGUGGUAGACAACGACACAAAAUCAUUUGUUCUUUGGUAGGUGAAUAGCUAAUAACCCCUUGUCUAUGGGGUUGGUCCUUGGGCAGAUCAACUGCUAAGAGAGACUAGUUAAUUACCCGUGCGUUGCCACGGGAAAAUACUUAGCAUCAUAGUAUUUGUUUUAUUUUCAAUAACGUGCUAGCAAAUAUGCCCCCUCAUCUCACAACCACAUGUCCAUUAGAUAUGGAUCAUGAAGGCCAGCAUACCACAAUGACAACACUCAUCCGUUUGUUAUACUACCAGAGAAGCAAAGGUGUACAAGGAUGCUAAACCGUAUGUAACAGAACAUAUAUGAAAUCAUUAAGUUAAUUCUUCAAGAAAUAAAUAUUGAAAUAACACAAGCCCAUCUUUCAC